rnacentral:rRNA from 1 species
CAGUAGGGAAUCUUCCACAAUGGGCGAAAGCCUGAUGGAGCAACGCCGCGUGUGUGAUGAAGGGUUUCGGCUCGUAAAAACACUGUUGUAAGAGGAGAAUGACAUUGAGAGUAACUGUUCAAUGUGUGACGGUAUCUUACCAGAAAGGAACGGCUAAAUACGCGCCAG